rnacentral:rRNA from 1 species
AGUCACUGACAUUAGAUACCCGUGUAGUCCAGGGUGUAAACGCUGCAGACUUGGUGUUGGAAGUCCUUUGGGGGCAUUCAGUGCCGGGAGAAGUUGUUAAGUCUGCUACUUGGGAGUACGUCCGCAAGGAUGAAACUUAAAGGAAUUGGCGGGGGAGCACCGCAACGGGAGGAGCGUGCGGUUUAAUUGGAUUCAACGCCGAAAAACUCACCAGCAGCGACUGUUACAUGAAAGUCAGGUUGAUGACCUUACUAGAUUUUCAG